rnacentral:rRNA from 1 species
GUGAGGAAUAUUGCGCAAUGGAGGCAACUCUGACGCAGCCAUGCCGCGUGCAGGAAGAAGGCGCUACGCGUUGUAAACUGCUUUUAACCGGGAAGAAACCCCAGGACGUGUCCUGGGUUGACGGUACCGGAGGAAUAAGCACCGGCUAACUUCGUGCCAGCAGCCGCGGUAAUACGAAGGGUGCAAGCGUUAUCCGGAUUCAUUGGGUUUAAAGGGUGCGUAGGCGGAGCUUUAAGUCAGUGAUGAAAUCCUGCAGCUUAACUGUAGACUUGCCAUUGAUACUGGCGCUCUUGAGUGCGCUUGAAGUGGGCGGAAUGUGCCGUGUAGCGGUGAAAUGCUUAGAUAUGGCACAGAACACCAAUUGCGAAGGCAGCUCACUAAGGCGAUACUGACGCUGAGGCACGAAAGCGUGGGGAUCGAACAGGAUUAGAAACCCUUGUAGUCC